rnacentral:lncRNA from 1 species
AUGAGGUGCACCUGAGGUCUCCCUUCAAAGACAACCUGUUGGGAAAGAGUGGUUAGCUGUUGGCUUCCAGCUGCAGCACUUUUGUUGCAGUGUUCAAACUGAGGCCUCAGUCUCCCCAUGUAACUCCCAGUCAAUAACUGACCAAAACAGGGACACUGAUACUUUGCCAUUCCUGCCCAACACAAGCCUCCUUCACCGGCAAUCUUUGUGCCAGAACACCCUCACUGGGCUGCUUGGGCCUUCUUCAGAACUGCAGGCAGCCUGAGGCUCUCCCUACCUAAUCCUCCUUCCUUACUUGCCCUUCUUUUAAUGUCAAACCUGCAGCAUGGUGUGAAGACCAUCCCUGUCUACUUUUGAUUCCUUGCCCUUUUGUUUUUCACAGGUACAUCUCCUAAUAAAUCCUUUACCCUUCUAACUUCCUCUUGGCAUCUGUCUUAAGAACCCAAACUGAUACAGCUGUCCACCCACACAGUGUGACUGGGCAAAGCCUACUGACUCACUCUUUUGAAAUGUGAAGGUCUAAAAAAAAAAAAAAAAUCCUCUUAAAAUGCAGCCAUGGGAGGGCACUGAAAAGAAAUGCAGUGUUUCAUUGGAUGGCUGCAAAAGAAUGUAGACUCCUACAAAGAUGGGUUGACAUCUUCUGGGGGUUUAUUUUACCAUUUACCUCUGACAGGAUGGCUGAAGAGGAAUCAUCCUGGGAGUUGGUUAUAAUAUUAUUUAUUUAAAAAUAUUUAUCAUUUAUUAAG